rnacentral:rRNA from 1 species
GGAGGGUGCAAACGUUGUUCGGGAAUCACUGGGCGUAAAGGGCGCGCAGGCGGACCUGUAAGUCAGGAGUGAAAACUCGGGGGGCUCAACUCCGAGCCUGCUUCUGAAACUGCAAGUCUUGAGGGCCGGAGAGGAGAGUGGAAUUCCUAGUGUAGCGGUGGAAUGCGUAGAUAUUAGGAAGAACACCAGUGGCGAAGGCGACUCUCUGGACGGUUCCUGACGCUGAGGCGCGAAAGCUAGGGGAGCAAACAGGAUUAGAUACCCUGGUAGUCCUAGCCGUAAACGAUGAGUGCUAGGUGGUGGUGGUUUCAACGCCUUCACUGCCGGAGCUAACGCAUUAAGCACUCCGCCUGGGGAGUACGGCCGCAAGGUUG